rnacentral:rRNA from 1 species
CUACGGGAGGCAGCAGCAGGGAAUCUUGCACAAUGGGCGAAAGCCUGAUGCAGCAACGCCGCGUGUGGGAUGAAGGCCUUCGGGUUGUAAACCACUUUCAGGAGGGAAGAAACUGACGGUACCUCCAAAAGAAGGUCCGGCCAACUACGUGCCAGCAGCCGCGGUAAUACGUAGGGACCGAGCGUUAUCCGGAAUCAUUGGGCGUAAAGAGCACGUAGGCGGUUCAGAAAGUCGGCUGUGAAAGUCCAAGGCUCAACCUUGGAAAUGCAGUCGAGACUUCUGUGACUAGAGUCUGGUAGAGGAGAAUGGAAUUCCCGGUGUAGCGGUGGAAUGCGCAGAUAUCGGGAGGAACACCAGUAGCGAAGGCGGUUCUCUGGGCCUCGACUGACGCUGAGGAGCGAAAGCAUGGGUAGCAAACAGGAUUAGAUACCCCUGUAGUCC